CCUCAAAUAUGCCACUAGGACAUGAAUAAAUAAACCACAGCAAUUAGAGAAAGCAGAAGCAAAUCAUCUAGAAGAUGCAUUCAAACAAUAAAGAAAACUAAAACAGACAAGUGCGUCGUGCCGCAGGUCUCAAAAAAUCGGUUAAUUGAAUCAAUCGAAAAGUGAUUAAAAAAAAAGAACUGCUACAAAUCGAACCAACUUUUAAUGAAUUCGCAAUUUGUGAUUGCUGUUGUGAUUGUGGUGUGCGUGUGUGUGGUGUGUGUUCAGGAUUUUAACACCUUGACACUACGGCAAAGCGUGUUUCACACAUUUCCAACAAAAUAACGCAAAUUAUAAAUAUGUAUAAAAAAAAUAUACAAAAUUGCUGAACAACUGUGAUGGACGUCAGACUCUGACACUUGACACGUGCUCAGUUGCAGGUAUAGCGCCAGGCAACGUAUGCAUAUAUCAGAGGGUCAGGGAUAAGUGUGAUGAAAAUCGAAAUGCAAUUAAGCAAAUUUAUCAAAUUAUAAUUAACACGAAUGCUACGCAAAACAUUAAUAAAGUGUUACUACUUCCACAAGGCAAAUGGCAAAUAGAGGGCAUACAGACGAGCUUCCAGCACAUUGAUGGAAAUAAUCAUCAAAUCAUGGUUUUAUAAUUAAGCAAAACAUUUUUAAUUAUGAACCCAGCGAUAAGUCCAGUAAGCAGGUAAUCCUUAAUUGUAGUUAGUAACGCCGUUUUUCUUGGUGUACCUCCUCAUAAAACAACUACUGAGCAAGGCUAGUUAAAGCUUCAUUCUCGAAACAAGUCUAUCAACUACUUUCUCAAUCAUUCGUCAAGGUCAUCAAAAGCCCGCCAAAAUUAUUUAGAUACACAUGUAUCUAAAGAAGUUGUAAGCAUUUGGUAUAUAUUAUGAAUGUACAUAUCUUAAAAAAAUACUCAAUUGGGGUAAAUUCUUUGGCGAUCAUGAUCUGAAGAAAGAGGAGUCUCCUGACCCAAUUUGUAUGCCCUGUACGCAGCUCUCUACUCAGUUUUAAUCUGAGGAAUCAAUGUCAUGCACAGACAAAAUAUGUAUGUUUGCAUCAAUAUAUGUGUAUAUAAAAUUUAUUAUGCAUUUUAAAAUUUAUAGAGCUAACAAUUAUCAUCAUCAAAAUUAACACCAGCCAGCUUACAUUAUUGUUGUCAAGCACGUUUGAACAAAUAGCAGAAUGUUAAAAUGGUUUGAUGUUGCGCUUGGUUCGAUGUUGUGUUGCUUGUAGCUUGUGAGAGUGUAACAGUGCCAUUGUGAGUUAGCAUUAACGUAAUACGCAAACUUCACUUUUAGUUUAUAUCCAAAAAAAUUAAAGAAGUUUUACCGUUUAUCAAUUAUUUAUGUGCUCAACUUAAAAGUAACUCAUUUGGAUAUGUUGCUCUCAAACACAUUGCGAACUUGGUAAAUUGGUUUAAUGUUGCGCGCUUGGUUCGAUGUUGUCUUGCAGCCGGUUGCUUGCCUAACAUUUCUGUGUUAACAAUAACAUACUAUGUAAACGUUGCUGUUAGUUGAAUUCAAAAAAAAUUUUGAAUUUCCGCCCGCCUGUUUCUCAAUUUUUUUCGUGUUUCUCAAUUCUUAUUUGGCGCUCGAUCGCGACGGUCACCACCAGUGCAACUGUUGCUCAUACAUUGAGUGUGCCAGUGUGCACACGCGUUCAUACAUUUGUAUGUAUGUGCGUAUUUCCGGUGUCAAAAAACUAUAAAACGAAUAAAGUGUAAAGAUUCAAUUAUCGGUUAUUCAUCAAAAUACCAAUCGUCAUAUACUUGCCUAUAUUUUAUAUAAAUAUAAUUGAAUCCGUGUCUGUAUGUGUGUGUGUGUGUGUGUGCUUGGCGUAACAACAGAAAUCGCGUUACUGUUGUGCGCGCAGCGACUGGCGCCAACAUCGAUUUAAUUAUAAAUACAUCAACAAUAAUAAUAACAAUAAUAGCACCAUCGUUGAUAUGUACAUAUGUAGAUACAUUCAUACACUCGUACACUCGUACAUACUGUGCACUAUUGUUACACACGCUGGUAGGCGUUGCUUUUUGCCAUAUUUCUCUCUCGUCGCCAUCACGCGCUGCGGUACAAAGUUAAACUCGCCGUUGGCGUCGGAAACACACCCGUAAAAAGCCAGCAGCUCAGUGCUGGGGUAUCUGCAUGCAUAAGGAAAUGUGUCACUAUGCAAUUGAAUAGAUUCGAACUGAAUUGGAAAUGGUUCAAAAUCAAAGCUCACAGAUGAACGAACUUUGGGAAUGGUUUCUGUUUCCAAGCUGAAGAAUAUCUACCUUCGGCUAAAUCAUAAUUAUACAUAAGAAUACCGUGUGCUACGCGAAACAAAAUAUAAGUUAUAAUAUAAUCUGUUUGCUUGCAAUUACUUAUUUGCAAGGACAUCUGUUCACAUCUUACCGGGCAGCAUUAGAUUCUUGAUUUAAAUAAUUCUAAUACUGUCAGGUAAAGAUGUCGUCCGUGUCCUUAUACAUCAUAAAACCACCAAAAAAAAAGAAGUUUUUUUUUUUUUUUGAAUGCAAUUUAAUUUGCGAAAAACCAUAGCCGAAAACGUAAAUCGUAAAACAAGUUUUUCAAUUGUGCGUGUAGGAAAACUUGCCAAGCCUGCGACUGCCGAAGGGCGACAGGCAGGGCAGCGCCGGGCAGGGCCGGGCAGGGCAGGGCAGGGCAGGGCAGGGCAAGAGGGCCCGCCAAACUGGCAGAUCUUCCUGCCUGCGACUGCGGAUGCCAUGGACGAACAACAGAAAAUUGGUCAAAAUGUUGUAUAUACCAGAAUACACAUAUGUAUAUAUAUUCUUUGCAGCAGCAGAGGCGCGUUUUUUUGGAUGACAUCAGUUGAGAGAUCUUCGAUGACACCGGGCUACUACUGCCUGUGCGUGUGUGUGUAUGUGUGUGUGUGUGUGUGUGUGUGUGGUGUGUUCAUGGAAAUGUUUUUUAUCUAAUCGCUGGCAUCAUCCUCAUCAUCAUUACUUUCGUUGGUCUCCUCUUCCGUGGCCUCCGCUUCGCUUUCGCUUUGUUUGGCCUUCUUGUUGGACGUUGGCUCAACUGUUUUGCUCUUCUUUUUGGCUGGCUCACUGUUGGACUUAUUGGCGUCCUCGGAGCUGGUUGAAUCAUCUUCGGAUAUGUAUUCCUUGCUCUUAAAACCACUGCCCGACGUGUUUGCCUUUUUCGUGGGUGAGGGCUCCGAGAUGCGUUUCUUAACCGGUUUGCUGCUGGGGCUCUCCUCAUUGUCGCUCCCGGCGCCGGCGCCUGGUUUGUAAUUGCGCAUCUCAUCCUGGUAGCG